CUAGAAAGGGACGUCUCUAAUGUUUUCUAGGCAAACAGGGUGUGCUUGUCGAAGAGAUAUUCUGCCGAGCCAGAUUCGGGCGCUCCCAUCUUGCGCAAGUUGGUCACGUGGUCACUCAAUUCUUUGAUGGCUUUCACCUGCUCAUUCAGGGCACUAAUAUACACAUGAUGAUACUUAAUUCUCUCAGAAAACCUUUGGCAAAGACACUUUCUACAUCUUGAAGGCAAGGAAUCUGAAUCUUGAAGAGAUUAAAUGAAUUGUCCAAAGUCACGAACCACAUUCUACUUGUGUAGGAGCUGCGACAGUAACCAACUCAUCCUGCCCUACUCACAGUAUAGCAUCUUUAGGCAUUGACUACAAUCAGCCAAGUCACCGGCUGAGGGGAAGAACAAGAACCAACCUUGAACUAUGAUCUAAGACAAGGUGUCCAAUCUUUUGGCUUCCCUGGGCCCCAUUGAAAGAAGAAUUGUCUCGGGCUACAUAUAAAAUACACCAACACUAACGAUAACUGAUGAGCUUAAAAAAAAAAUCACAAACACACAAAUCUCAUAAGGUUCUAAGAAAGUUUACGAAUUUGUGUUGGGCGGCAUUCAAAGCCAUGCUAGGUCGUGUGUGGCCCAGGUGGGCCACAGGUUGAACAAGCUUGAUCUAAGAUAAAGUGGUUCUGACCUUCAGCCUAAAUUCCUCUCACUAGCAUUCGAGAUGGAAUGAGGUCAGGGCACACACUUUCAUGUUUUCUUGCUACAAAUUACUUGGAUGAGAAAUUUCCCUCUGAAAAUACUAAAAAAGUGAAGAGGAAAACAGCUACUUCACCCUUAAUUCUGACCAAGAAGGGAAAAUUGUGAACUAAAAGGCAGCCACAUGUUCCUUGGGAAAGAAACAAUCACAUGAUCUUCGUUUAAUUAGCCAGAUAAUAAAACCACGGAUUUGUUAGUCAAAAUAUAUUUGACUAUUCUGUGCCAGACAUUGUUCUAGGCACAGGAGAGAACAAGACAAAGACCCAUAGCCUCGGAUUGCUGACAUUUCUAUGUACAGAGAAAAAUAGACAAAUAAACAUUAAGAUUUCAACAUUUAUCCUAGAGUUUAGAAAAUCUAACUUUAAUUGUUUUUAGAAAUUUUUAAAAUCUAAAGUCCUAAUACCAGACAAAUGGUUCCAAUUUUUCUUUUUGAUUUUUAAAAAAUUUACAAUAAGAUACUUUGAAAAUGGAAACCUGGUUUUAAAGUGAAAAUGUAUUCAGUGACUAAUGAAAUUUCCAUGGGAACAGUGGAAAGAAUACUGUCACAAAGGAUAGUUGCCAUCUUUUGAUGGUUAUUUAAAGUCUUGGAUAUGUUAGAAAAUGUAUCGCAAUUUUAAAAUCAGUAUUCUUUGUUACUUUGUAUCAAUUCAAUUAAGGCAACAUCCUAUUCCAUAGUGAAAAUAUAGCUAUUCUGUUAAACUCCAGCUUGGAAUACAUUUUAAAGUGCAUUCUUAAUAAAAAAUUUUAAAUAGGAGAACAUGGAACAAAAUUAAAAGUAUUCAGGAAAAUAAUUUUAUACCUAGAGACACUAGAGAAGAAGGUUAACUCAAGAGUGACCAAAGACUUUAGAUGUUCUAGUAUUUUUUUUUCUUUUUAGAAAUUAGACAAAUUUAAUUUGUGGAAAAUUGCUAGAAUGAAUUCAUGAAUAUAGUUUGCGAGCAUGUAGGAAAUGAAAUGGUGAUUUUUAGGGGAUCAUGGGUAUCUUGGUAACAGAUCAUGCUUUUUUAAUGAGCAGAACAAAAUGUGCCACAAACACAGUGCCUUGGUAUUUGUAAAUCAUUUUCCAAAAUUUUUCACAAUAUCUAUAUAAAUAAGAUUUUUAAAAUUGUAUGUAUAACACUAUAGUUGGCAAGUUUCAUUCCUGGUUCCACAAUAACACUGAUUAGUGGUUGGAUGGAAAGCCGGCAGGAAUGUGUUGUGUCUGUUCCUGUUUAACAUUUCUGUAAGUGAUUUGGUGAGGAUACAGAAGGCAUGUUAUUGAAUGUGUAGAUGGACAAAGUUUAGGGUAAAAGUUAAUGUGUUUGAAAAAAGAGGUUAUAUUAAAAAUACCUUCAUUGACUGGAACAAUUGGAAAGGACAUACUUGUCUGCCUACAGGGACAGAAAACUCAUUACCAUGGUGGCUUUUUCAUUGGGUUUGCUAGGGCCAGAAUCCAGAACUCAUUGAGUACUUCUUCUUAUAGCAUAUAUAGCAAUUCAUUAACAUUGGGGAAUAAUAAUAAUACAAUAGUCAUUGUCCAGAAAGGACUAACUUUAAUGGUAAAAG
rnacentral:lncRNA from 1 species